GACGAACGCUGGCGGCGUGCCUAAUACAUGCAAGUUGAGCGCUGAAGGUUGGUACUUGUACCAACUGGAUGAGCAGCGAACGGGUGAGUAACGCGUGGGGAAUCUGCCUUUGAGCGGGGGACAACAUUUGGAAACGAAUGCUAAUACCGCAUAAAAACUUUAAACACAAGUUUUAAGUUUGAAAGAUGCAGUUGCAUCACUCAAAGAUGAUCCCGCGUUGUAUUAGCUAGUUGGUGAGGUAAAGGCUCGCCAAGGCGAUGAUACAUAGCCGACCUGAGAGGGUGAUCGGCCACAUUGGGACUGAGACACGGCCCAAACUCCUACGGGAGGCAGCAGUAGGGAAUCUUCGGCAAUGGACGAAAGUCUGACCGAGCAACGCCGCGUGAGUGAAGAAGGUUUUCGGAUCGUAAAACUCUGUUGGUAGAGAAGAACGUUGGUGAGAGUGGAAAGCUCAUCAAGUGACGGUAACUACCCAGAAAGGGACGGCUAACUACGUG
rnacentral:rRNA from 1 species